UCGUUGUUCGAAACACGACCGCGAACACGUAACGUAAAGCCGCCGGGGCAGGGCCCUCCUCCCCUGCUCCACCGGCCCCGGCCCCUAGGCCGAGUGCCGGAACACGGCGCGGAUUGUCGCCAAGGAACACUGAUCUGCCUAGGCACGCCGCAACCCGCGGCGCUGUCGAGGCCAAAGAAAC
rnacentral:misc_RNA from 1 species